CUUUUUCCUUAGGCGCAAAUUCGUCAACUUCAAGCUGAAAAUGAGGCUUUAAGAGCAGGAAAUGCUGGAGCGACUGGGGGUGAGGCAGAGCCCCGUCUAGAGUUUCAGACUCAACGUCUGGCUGAUGAAUUAAAAGCAGCUGCUAGUUCAGCGGAACAAUCUUUAAGAUCUUUGUUGACCGGUGUGGACAAUUUGCGGUUUAUGGCAUCGACUUUGGAAAAUUUUCAUCGAAUAGAAGAAGGACCGGCGGAGAGGUUUUCUAGGUUUGACGAUGACGGUGCUGGUCCAGCACUAUAGCCAGUUUACAAUUUUACUGUUUGAUUAUAGUAGUGCCGUAUUUAUUAGUUCCUUUGAAACUUACGUAAGAGAAUGGUAACCAGUACGGAAUUCUUCACCGGGUUUUGAAGAGUUAAUACUAACGUGAUUGCAAUAUGUUAUGCAGUAUUAAUAACGAGAGCAGAAGUUGCUUAAUAUUUCUGUGUUUAUGUUGUCAUCAACUUGGGCCAUUUGUUUUCCUGCUGUUCUGAAAUAUUUUAAAGGUUUGAGGUCUCAAUCUGUAAAUAGUUAAGUUAUAAGAAAGUCAAAUAAUUUAUUAUUUGAUUUGUAAGUUAUUAUAAUGCAAAAUAAUAGUGGUUUCUAAUCACAUGUUCGACAUUUUUUAUAUGUUAAAUAACCAAAUUUCGUUAAGCCAAGAAACAAUUAUUAUUAGUGUUAAUAUAUGUGGCUACUUAGAUUUGUACGUUCUGAAUAUCCUGUGUUCCCAAAGCUGUCAGCUUGAAAUGAAUAAAGUAUUUUACUUGUA
rnacentral:lncRNA from 1 species